UCCCGCCGCGCGGGAAUGUGCUUCGCGCGAGUACUUGGAAACGUGUCUGCGUCGCGAUGCCUUCUUUUCACUCGUCUACGAGUGUAGCAUGCACCGACAUGUCUUCGGGCCUGGACAAAUUUCGUUUCCAAACGCCGGCGUCAAUCACGAUGAUUGGAUCCUCUAAAUCGGCCAAAAAUGACGAUAGUGGUGUGGAGGAUGACUAUGUGGACAGCGAAUAACAGCUGAUACUUCGUGUCACCUCCUCAACGCAUUCGGUAUGACAUCUGUCGGUCCAGGCUGGACAGGAUCCCCCACAAAGCUGCGCCUGCCAAAAGAGCGUUCCCGGAAGCAAGCGAUCUUCAUAUCCUCAUCGCACGCCCUGACUUUGUGAUUAGUUUUUAGACUGUGUACCGCAUUGCUCGCGAGAUGUCA